rnacentral:lncRNA from 1 species
ACCAGGGGGCAGACUUUGGUCUAGGUCUUAACGCUUCUUACGCGUCCCCUGGCAGCUCCUCCUUGGGCCUAGCUAAUCCAGCCCAUUAGGAGCCUUGGCCCAGCGCUGGGGGCUCACUAUAAAUACCCCUUUCAUGGCAAAGGGGCAGGUAUUCGAACUCACACUCUGAUAACCUCAUUCUGUACCUUUUCUGACUUAAGCAUUGGAGCACCUUGCAGGUACACCCCCCCCUCAUUUCAUUCUCCGGCCCAUUCACCAAGACCAUGGAAGGCCCUCCUGAUCAGGUGAGAUCACUAAUAUAUCCUUGAUCUUUGACACAUUUAAGUAGUUUCUAUUUCUUUAGUUUUGACAAAUCACCAUUUUCGUUUGGACUUAAUACUUCAUUUGUACCAUUUAAAUAAUACUAAAUAGUGGAUUCUGGAACCACUAAUCACAUGACACUCUUAUCCACACACUUCACCACUUAUUCACUUUUCUUCUAGUAAAAAAAAAAACCACCGCAGAAGGUACUCUUAUAACUAUAAUAGGUAAAUGAACAAUUCAAAUUAACUCACCC